AGUGAACGCUGGCGGUAGGCCUAACACAUGCAAGUCGAACGGCAGCACAGUAAGAGCUUGCUCUUACGGGUGGCGAGUGGCGGACGGGUGAGGAAUACAUCGGAAUCUACUUUUUCGUGGGGGAUAACGUAGGGAAACUUACGCUAAUACCGCAUACGACCUACGGGUGAAAGCAGGGGAUCUUCGGACCUUGCGCGAUUGAAUGAGCCGAUGUCGGAUUAGCUAGUUGGCGGGGUAAAGGCCCACCAAGGCGACGAUCCGUAGCUGGUCUGAGAGGAUGAUCAGCCACACUGGAACUGAGACACGGUCCAGACUCCUACGGGAGGCAGCAGUGUGCAAUAUUGGACAAUGGGCGCAAGCCUGAUCCAGCCAUACCGCGUGGGUGAAGACGGCCUUCGGGUUGUAAAGCCCUUUUGUUGGGAAAGAAAAGCAGCAGGUUAAUACCCCGCUGUUCUGACGGUACCCAAAGAAUAAGCACCGGCUAACUUCGUG
rnacentral:rRNA from 1 species